rnacentral:rRNA from 1 species
CCUACGGGAGGCAGCAGUAGGGAAUAUUGGUCAAUGGGUGAGAGCCUGAACCAGCCAUGCCGCGUGCAGGAAGAAGGCCUUUUGGGUUGUAAACUGCUUUUGCCGGGGGAUAAAAUGGCUUUGCGAAGCUAAUUGAAGGUACCCGGWGAAUAAGCCACGGCUAACUACGUGCCAGCAGCCGCGGUAAUACGKAGGUGGCAAGCGUUGUCCGGAUUUAUUGGGUUUAAAGGGUGCGUAGGCGGUUCUUUAAGUCAGUGGUGAAAUMCAGCCGCUUAACGGUUGAGGUGCCAUUGAUACUGAAGAACUUGAGUACAGACGAGGUAGGCGGAAUUGACGGUGUAGCGGUGAAAUGCUUAGAUAUSGUCAAGAACACCGAUAGMGAAGGCAGCUUWSUAGACUGUAACUGACGCUGAGGCAMGAAAGUGUGGGGAUCAAACAGGAUUAGAUACCCUGGUAGUCCACRCUGUAAACGAUGAUUACUCGAUGUKGGCGAUACACAGCCAGMGUCUYAGCAAAASCGAUAA